GACGAACGCUGGCGGCGUGCUUAACACAUGCAAGUCGAACGGUUAAGCAGAGCUUGCUCUGUGGUUCAGUGGCGAACGGGUGAGUAACACGUGAGUAACUUGCCCUUGACUCUGGGUUAAGCGUUGGAACGAGCGCUAAUACCGCAUACGAGCUGAGGCCGAAAGGGGAUGAGCUUGGAAGCUUUGUUGGUCAAGGAUGGAUACGCGGCCUAUCCGCUUGUUUGGGAGGUAAUGGUACACCAAGGCCACGCCGGGUAUGCGGCCUGAGAGGGUGACCGGCCACACUGGGACUGAGAGACGGCCCAGACUCCUACAGGAGGCAGCAGUGGGGAAUAUUGCACAAUGGGCGCGAGCCUGAUGCAGCAACGCCGCGUGAGGGAUGACGGCCUUCGGGUUGUAAACCUCUUUUAGUAGGGAAGAAGCGAAAGUGACGGUACCUGCAGAAAAAGCACCGGCUAACUACGUG
rnacentral:rRNA from 1 species